GAAAGACGUGUCGACAUCCAGUCCAUGAACCAAACCAGGAACUCCCAGCUGAAUGAUGCACCAGUCGUGACCUUCAGUGACAUGAAGGUUUGAUUCCAGACGCUGACCUGGGAUCCUCUUCCUCCUCGUCUCCCAUCCAUCCAUCCACUUUCCAAACUCUGUGAACGCAGACGGGAUGAACCGCGGAGGCUCUCGCUGUUAAAACACACAGAUGUGUGAAGAGUGAAGCAAACGUUAUUCACCUUCCCUCCCACCGUCUCGCAGGCGAGGUCAUUGAACUGCAAGAAGUCCGGUUCUGCUGCAGGCUUCGCC